GCCUCUAUAGUUAAAUGGUAUAACACGUCCAUGGUAAGGAUGAAUUCCAAGUUCAAUUCUUGGUGGAGGCA
rnacentral:tRNA from 1 species